rnacentral:rRNA from 1 species
GCAUGUUAACGGAUGCAAAGCACAGGGUUCUAUGGGUAGAGUGGGCAAAACUCAAAGGAAUUGACGGAAGAAUAAGCUCCGGCUAACUACGUGCCAGCAGCCGCGGUAAUACGUAGGGGGCUAGCGUUGUUCGGAAUUACUGGGCGUAAAGGGUGCGUAGGCGGUUUUCUAAGUCUGGUGUGAAAUCUCCCGGCUCAACUGGGAGGGUGCGCCGAAAACUGUAGGGCUAGAGUGUGGGAGAGGAAAGUGGAAUUCCCGGUGUAGCGGUGAAAUGCGUAGAUAUCAGGAGGAACACCUGUGGUGUAGACGGCUUUCUGGACCAUUACUGACGCUGAGGCACGAAAGCGUGGGUAGCAAACAGGAUUAGAUACCCUGGUAGUCCACGCCCUAAACGAUGCAUACUUGGUGUGGGCCGUUCAUUU